rnacentral:lncRNA from 1 species
CGGGCGGUGCGCUCGGGAGCCCGUGACGCUAGGGCUCCCGAGCUGCUUGCGGCCUGGGCGUCGUCCCCCAGCUCGGGUCCCCAACUACGACAGCGAGCCGAGGCCUCGGAGGGCACCGCCCACCGGGGCCCCGGGUCCUCCGACCAGGCGAAGCUUCGCCGGCUACCGAGAACCCCGGCCGGGAUGCACUUCAGCACAGUCACCAGGGACAUGGAAGGUGAGCCUCCUAGCCGCGUCAACACCGGCCUGCGUCAGCCCCCUGCCCCGGCUGCCUGAAGCCUCACCGCAAAUAGAGCUCCUGGCCGGUUGGGUUCCAUGGUCGCAGCUCAGGCUCUGGGGCAGGGAGGAAGGCCUGGCAUUCCCCCAAAGCCUGUCCACCCACCAGCUGGGGACCCUGCCUUGGAGACUAGCACGAAGCUAGAUGCAGGCCCGGAAGAGGGAAACUGAGCACAGAGGUGGCCAUGAGCUUGGAGAGGUGGCAGGAGAGAUGAUGAAAAAGACGAUCCGUGUGUCAGGGAACACAGAAAAAAGAGGAGAAACAAAAACCAAAUCAAACAAACAAACAAAAAUGGUGAGGGCGGCCAAGAGGAAAAGAAAUUGAGACAAGGAGAGAAAACCCAGUAAGGUAGGAAAGAAAAAAAAGAAAGACAUGAAAAAGAAAUUAGCAAGACGAAAAAGAGAAAACGAAGGAAAAAUUGAAGACAGUAAUUUAAAAAAAAAAGAACAAAAGAGAUUCCAGAUUUUAUUUUUAUUUAAAGAAGAAAACAACAUGAAUAAGAGAACAUGUAGAAAUAAAAGAAAAAAGGGAAAGAGAAAGAAAGACAAAGAGUGAUGACAGUGGAAAGAAAGGACAGGAACAUAGGAAAAAAGAAAGAGAUAAACAGAACUAAUGAGAAACUAAGGAGAUACUAGAAGGAGAGGUGAUUAGGAAAAUGUUAAAUGAGGGAGACAAAGGUAAAGAAAAAAUUGGGAAAAGAAAGUCUGGGAGCGAGAAAAGAACUACAACGCGGGAGGGCGGCAGAGCAGGGGCUGCCGACGGGCUCGGCACUCCGGGGAGCCGGU